rnacentral:rRNA from 1 species
UAGGGAAUCUUCGGCAAUGGACGAAAGUCUGACCGAGCAACGCCGCGUGAGUGAAGAAGGUUUUCGGAUCGUAAAACUCUGUUGUUAGAGAAGAACAAGGACGUUAGUAACUGAACGUCCCCUGACGGUAUCUAACCAGAAAGCCACGGCUAACUACGUGCCAGCAGCCGCGGUAAUACGUAGGUGGCAAGCGUUGUCCGGAUUUAUUGGGCGUAAAGCGAGCGCAGGCGGUUUCUUAAGUCUGAUGUGAAAGCCCCCGGCUCAACCGGGGAGGGUCAUUGGAAACUGGGAGACUUGAGUGCAGAAGAGGAGAGUGGAAUUCCAUGUGUAGCGGUGAAAUGCGUAGAUAUAUGGAGGAACGCCAGUGGCGAAGGCGGCUCUCUGGUCUGUAACUGACGCUGAGGCUCGAAAGCGUGGAGAGCAAACAGG